GGAUUGAAACCAGGGACACUCUACUAUUAGGCUAUAUCCUCAGUCCCAUUUUUUUUUCUUUAAUUUUAGGACAAGUUAACCAGGCUGGCCUUGAACUUGCAAUCAUCCUGCUUCAGCCUCCUAAGUUGCUGGGAUCAUAGAUGUGAAGCACCAUGCCUGGUAAGAAGGACUUUUCCACAGAAACUAUGGGCUGCAUCCCAAUCUACAUGUAGGUUGCUUUAAUAAUGUCUUUAUGAGCUCCGUAUCUAAUUAUUUUAUCAACAGAAAUAUUAAGAUUUUGUGAAACUUAUUCUUGCUACACUUUAGCUUCCACACGAUUUGUAGAUAACUAUGAAAAGAAAUCACAAGUUCAUAAUUAUCAAACACAACUGAUCCAUGAUGAAUGGUCCCACCAGGGCAGACCUAGAGCUGAGAGCACAAGGAGACUCUUAGGUGAGUUCCUAAGAUGUUCAGAGGGAUGGUUGGGCUGUCAUGGUGAGACAAAAGGCCAAGCAGGCAAGAAACAGCAGGUGAGAAAAGUGCAUUGCGGGAGGGAGAGACAGGACAGGGGUUUGACUAAAAGUGAAGGAAGAAACUGUUAAACAGGCCGAAAGCCAGCUUUUUCCUGGAGGCCACCCAGCGGACCUCAGAAUGACUAGAAGCAGUGAGCAGCCCUCAGAAGCCUGGCUUGAGGAGCGAAUCAAAGCUCUACCUUUGGGGAUGUCACGGCAGAUGCAGGGAACGAAGCAGAAAAUUGUCACCACAGGAUGGAGGCCAACGGUGUCUGAGCAGGGCUAUGGGGCAGAGACUCCUGACCGGGCAGACAGAGGUUGUCAUGGAGGCAGCAGCAGGACUGUGGUAAGGGUGGCGGGAGGCCAACUCCAUACUGAAUGUGGCCUCUGUCACCUCUCCAGGCACAGAACUGGGAGCGCCCAGGAGAGCUGGAAGCUUUGUUGGAAUGGCCCGCGGUGCUCCAUCAACAAUGGACGGUGCUCAAACACGAGUCGAGCCACAGCUGGGAAGGAGUUUCCCCAACGCGACGACAGCUCCAAAGCAAUCAAUAGUGAAUCAGUUGCAACGGUGGGGUCCUGACUGACCUAAGUAGAAGUCCUUCAAGGAAGGAAGGGGCGAUCUGGUGUAGGCAAGACUCCCGACAGCACGGGGAAGGAAAACUGCGGAGUUCUACGUUCAGCUCAUCGGUGUCCCUGACAUCUCCCUCCCUGCCCUGAUCUCCCGUCAGCUUCUUGGACUCUGGAGCCACCCGUGUUACGCAGCCUCAUGGCGAACUUGCUCUGGAUUCUGCAGAAUACCUAGGUCCCUAGGACAGAGAUGGCAUGACUAGCUACACGAUUCAGUCCUCUUUGGGGGUGGGGUUCUGUCCAGCCUUGUGGGUUCCUGCUGCCUGUGCUUCUGGGGUGCAGGAUUCGAUGGGGAGAAGGACUUUGCAACGAUCGCUGACCCAGGAAUUCCUGUGAUAAGAGCCCAGGCUCACACAAGAGCAUAUGCACAAAUGCACAGAUGUGUGUAUGUAAACGCGUGUGUGUUUAUUUCUUUGCAUGUACACAUACAUGUGAAUAUUUAUAAAAAUACACAAAGUAUACAUGUGGAUUUGACUUCUCUGGUUAAAUCUUCACUAAUACAAUACCUUAUUUUCAC
ensembl:lincRNA